UACGUAGGGGGCAAGCGUUAUCCGGAUUUACUGGGUGUAAAGGGAGCGUAGGCGGUGAUGCAAGUCAGAAGUGAAAGCCCGCAGCUCAACUGCGGGACUGCUUUUGAAACUGUAUGACUAAAUUGCAGGAGAGGUAAGUGGAAUUCCUAGUGUAGCGGUGAAAUGCGUAGAUAUUAGGAGGAACACCAGUGGCGAAGGCGGCUUACUGGACUGUAAAUGACGCUGAGGCUCGAAAGCGUGGGGAGCAAACAGG
rnacentral:rRNA from 1 species